CUUUUUCUUAAUCUCUCCUUAUUAUCCAACAUACUCACUUAUCCAACGUUCUGCCGGCCCGUUUACGUUGGAUAAGCGAGACUCUACUGUACUUAAAAACCCACAUGCUGUUUAGGCUGCCUGAAGGAAUUCCCCUUUUCCUAAUGAGGAAGACUCUCUCCUUGAGUAAAGCAACUACUGUUUUUUUUAGCAGCAGAACUCCUAUAUAUUUUAAUUGAAUUUCAACUAGGUUGAACCCUUGUGUCAGCAGUUCAAAUCUGGGGAAUGGGGUGAGCUCCUGUCUGUCAGCUCCAGCUUCCCAUGCAGGGACAUGAGAGAAACCACCCACAGGAUGGUAAAACAUCCGGGCAUCCCCUGGGCAACAUCCUUGCAGACGGCCAAUUCUCUCACACCAGAAGCGACUUGCAGUUUCUCAAGUUGUACCUGACACACACAAAAAAAUCCUCAUUAUGAAUUUAAUUUGAAAGUAUGAGAGUUCUAUUUGCUACAUUUUCAAAUUAAUUUAUUUAUUUUUGGCCAGUCUAUUUACUAUCCCAAUUCUCCUCACUUCUCUUCAUCUCUCCUCUAUCACCAAUACAUAGGAAUUGGUGAUAUUCUGCUAUACUAGACUCACCUUUCACAGAACAGAGCACGGAAGGAGGGGCCUUGAAAAGAAGAGCAGAAAGGGCAGAGGCAUAAAUGACAGAGGCAACGGUGGAGGGAGGGAAGCAUUGGUCUGUGUGUGUGUGAGAGAGGAAGACCAUGGCCCAGAAAGAGAAGUCAAGGAACUGAAGAAUGGAAGAAAAUGGGGAAGAUGAAGAAAGGAGUGAGAAUGAAAAUACUUGGGAGAAGCAAAGAUGUUGCAAAUGAACUGGAACUACACACUGGAUUCUGGAUACUGCAUUGGAGACAUACAGAUAUCACAAAGCUAUGUCUCAGUAGAUGUCUCCCAGUGCUACUUUUCCACCUUGUAAGGAAUGCAGCUUCCCUAAUUUCACCUUUUCCAUAUUGUUGGAGAAUGGAAAGGUCAGCAAAAAUAUUUCCAGUAGCUGGACAUGCUGUGACAGCCAUCAGCAGGAAGCUUCAAAGUUCUUGGGAUAUUCCUGAAAAUGAUGCCCUUACAAUGUAAUCAACUACAGGAAAAUAGCUUGAUGCUUCCCCACUGGUCUCUGACAAUUCAGAAUUUCCUUUGUGGUAGGGAGGGAAAGGUUUUGCUUACAAAAAGGGUCUACAACACUUUUAGUAAUUGCAUGCUUAGCAUAGAAUUUAGACCUCCACAAAAUCCCCAAAAUGUGAGUUGUGGUAUUGAUUUUAAUUCAUUAAUAAGCUGCUAACCAAUGAUAUAUUUUUUUUAAAAAAAAAAGACUCUUAAGGAUUUCUAUUAUGUCCACAAUUCACAAUUGGUACUGCUCCAGCGGGAAGGUAACGGCGCUCCAUGCAGUCAUGCCGGCCACAUGUCCUAGAAGGUGUCUAUGGACAACGAUGGCUCUUUGGCUUAGAAAUGCGGAUAAGCACCACCCCACAGAGUCAGACCCAAUUAGACUUAAUGUCAAGGGGAAGCCUUUACCGUUACUAGUGUGUCUGCAGGAAGGAUGGGGAAGCAAUCAGUAGGAUCCAACCGACACAGAAGUUACCAGCCACCACUGCUAGAACCUAGACCCCUGCUUGCCAAUUUCAGCUGUAAGUUAAAUGUCCUUGUUCUGAAUCUUGUAUUCUUCAGAACACCUUCUGUUCUUAAUUUCUAAAGUGGCAGAUUCUGGAACUGAAGGCUUUUUGCCUUUGUAAACCUAUAAGGAAGAACAUGGGAGGGGUAAUGGAGAUAAUUCAGAGAUGAAUACAACCUGACCAUGACAAAAGGAAAACUCUUUUUCAUUAUUGCCUGAUAUCUUUCCAAGGUUGAAUUCAGACAUUGGAACAAAAUUCUUAGGACUUGAGCCCCAAUCACCAUAAUAAGUCCUGUCAUUAAUAAUAAAAGAGCUGUGUGUUUUGGCAGCAAACCAGCAGGAUUUGCGCUAUUCAAAAUUGUGUACCCAAAAGAGCUGGCAUGGUUUAACACCAACUCAUUCUGUCCCAACCUAUCCAUCAGAGCUCUCAGAGUUUAUCCCAGGAAUCCACCUAAACAAACAAACCUCCUCCAAAUGUUAAAACUUCUUGUUCUUCAGUUUUUGUUAAGAGGAGAGAACCCCACACCGCUACAAGAUGAAACUCUUACACUCAACAGUUGAAUAGUUUGCCGAGGAGGGUGAUGAAUUCUCCAUCUUUGGAAGUCUUUAAACAGAGGCUAUCAGCAUCUGUAAGGAGUUUUAAUCAGUGUAUUCCUGUAUGGCAGGAGGUUGGACUAGAUCAGGACUGAGCAAACUUCGGC
rnacentral:lncRNA from 11 species